rnacentral:rRNA from 1 species
CCUACGGGUGGCUGCAGUCGAGAAUCUUUGGCAAUGGGCGCAAGCCUGACCAAGCGAUGCCGCGUGCGGGAUGAAGGCCCUCGGGUUGUAAACCGCUGUCGAGGGGGAUGCAGAUCCCUGGAGGAAGGGUGGGCUAAGUUCGUGCCAGCAGCCGCGGUAAGACGAACCACCCAAACGUUAUUCGGAAUUACUGGGCUUAAAGAGUGCGUAGGCGGCCCGGAAAGUAAGGUGUGAAAUCCCACAGCUCAACUGUGGAACUGCGCUUUAAACUUCCGGGCUAGAGGGAUAUAGAGGUGAGCAGAACAGAUGGUGGAGCGGUGAAAUGCGUUGAUAUCAUCUGGAAUACCGGAGGCGAAGGCGGCUCACUGGGUAUUCUGACGCUGAGGUACGAAAGCUAGGGUAGCGAACGGGAUUAGAUACCCUGGUAGUC